GAUAAACGCUGGCGGCGUGCCUAAUACAUGCAAGUCGAACGAAGGGUUGUAGCAAUACUGCCCUUAGUGGCGAAUGGGUGAGUAACGCGUUGGUGACCUGCCCCAAAGAGAGGGAUAACAGUUCGAAAGGACUGCUAAUACCAAAUGUGGUUGUAAGAGUUAGAGUCUUAUAACGAAAGGAGCAAUCCGCUUUGGGAGGGGCCUGCGUCCCAUCAGCUAGUUGGUAGGGUAAUGGCCUACCAAGGCGACGACGGGUAGGGGGCCUGAGAGGGUGGCCCCCCACACUGGCACUGAAACACGGGCCAGACACCUACGGGUGGCAGCAGUAGGGAAUAUUGCACAAUGGGCGAAAGCCUGACGCAGCAACGCCGCGUGAGUGAUGAAGGCCUUCGGGUCGUAAAACUCUUUUCGGGGAGAUGAGGAAGGACAGUAUCCCCGGAAUAAGAUUCGGCUAACUACGUGCCAGCCGCCGCGGUAACAC
rnacentral:rRNA from 1 species